CAGACUUCGUAGUAGUAGAGACCGGAAAUGAUGAGAGGGCACCCAUCAUCUUAGGGAGGCCAUUCUUGAACACCAUGGGAGCUAUCAUCUACGCUAGUGCUGCCAAGAUCAGUUUCUACAUCAAAGGGAGGAAGGAGACAUUUUUCUUCAAGAACAAGACUACACAAAUUCCAGAUCAAUCCAGACAUGAAUCAAGGAAGAGGACCAACAGGAGGAAUAGGAACAAGCAAGUGUGGACCGAGUCAGCUAAGAUGGUCACUGCAGUUCAUGGAGGUCAAGAUCAUCAACUUAAGUCUCCAUUUUUGACCAAGAAGGAUGACCCAGGAAUGCCAAGCAUCUAUUGCUCCAUAAAUGGAUAUAACUUCUACAAGACAACUUGCGACACCGGAUCGGGCGUCAACAUAAUGGCCGCAGUCACCUAUCGGCUCUUGUUCGGAACCAUGCCCAUAAAAACCAAUAUACAUUUAGCUCCAGAUGGUAGAUCAGACAUUUCGAGAAGUUAAAGGAACAGUAACUGAUGUCCCAGUCAAAAUAGACGAUUAUUUUGUCUACACAGACUUUCAAUUUAUUGACAUGGGAGAAGAUGAGUACGAUCCACCCAUCAUCCUUGGAAGACCGUUCCUCAGCACUGUUAAAGCAAUUAUCUACAUUGGAAUCGGAGAAGUCCAUAUGCACUUCCCCUCAAAGAAGGUACGCCGUUAUUUUACUGACCCUAACUAUAUCGUUGAAGAAUCUAAGCAGGUAAGAAAGCGACGCAACCGCAACCAGAGGAGGCAGAUCAUCAAGGACGGAUGGGCAGACUAUGAGGAGAAGUGAUAAGGUCAGAAGACGUAGAGUUUAAACAGAAUUAUCUAGAGGAGAAUGUAGCACCGAGUCAGGUAUGGAAAGAGAAAAUAACUAUACAUGAAGAGAAGGUGCCGUCGGAAGUACCGACUACGCCACCCAAAGAAUCUUAGGACAAUUAAGAAAACGGAGAGUCCCGUUCGGAGGACUUAAAAACACCGAACGCCUUGCCAAGAGGUAAACUUGGUAGUUAUCCUUUCCCUUUCAAUUAUUUCAAAUAGUUUAUUUAGUUAAUCAUGUUCAUGCUAUCUUAAAAAGAAAAUAAAAAUAUGAAAAACAGUAAGCCCCAUGUGAGUAUACGAGUGGCAUAAAACCCAUAAGUACAUUCACUGUGGUGGCAUAAAAAUAAAAAUUAAAAUUUCUUUUCUCCUUUAUAAAACAAAAAUAUAAAAAUAGGGAGUAAUAAUUAUUGAGGAGUCUCAACAUGAUAAAGGCUAGAUAUUUAUGCUAACACUUAAUCAGUUCCACAAGCUUUGUUGUCUAUUUGAGCUCCACAGAAUUUAAGAAUCAAGAAGACUAGCAGACGGAGGACAUUCUAAUCGCUGUCAGAAUGCUGCUGACUUUCAAAUACACCUCUGCCACCUGCUAGCUACAUCAAGAGAAAUUACGUCAAAAUUCAGCUUGGGGGAGAGCACCCCCAUUUAUCUCGAUAAGUAUUUCUAUCUAUCUAUCUUUAUACUUAUAUUAUUUUAGAAUAUAAAUAUACAUAACUAUGAAAAACCAAAUAAAGAUUUUGUGCUUAUAUAUAUAUAUAUAUAUCUUUUGCUUAGUAAUAAAUAAAUAAAGUGGCUAUGCUAAUCUGUAUCUAAAUAAAACUCUAGCAUGGAUAUGAUGAAUAGUUGCUCUGCCUAAUUUGCACAUUUUAAGUUCUCUCUCAAGUUUAGACAUAACUGUUAUAAUUUAAAGCUUGCUCUAGACCUAAACUUGUGGGAUGAAAACUUGAUCUAAAGUCUAAGUUGUUAACGGAUACGAUAUGAGAAGGUUGAGCUGUUGUUUAUCUGUUCCUUGAGAUGCUAGAAUUCUAGAGAAUUUUAUCUUUGAAAAUCUUUAAAAUGUUGCAUGAUGAGUUCCUGUAUGAUGAGAGUUUAAAUCCCUACCACAGCCAUAUAUACAUGCUUGCUAGACUUUGAGCCACAUAUUUCAUAUUUACUACUUAUGAGCAUUGAGUGUGGUCAAGCUGUGUAGACCCUUAGGAGCUUGUCAUGUAGUUAAAAUCAAGAUUCACUUGCACGUUCACUCAUAUAUGCUACUUCUACUCCGGAAGUACCAUCCACAUAUAUCCACCCGUUUCCAUCUCCAGAAUCACCUAAAAAUAUUCUACUCCUAAUCUGGGAGAGAAUAGCCAAAAAUAUUUCUGUUUUUCCCCUGUGAAAUAAAUGCUCAAGUUAUCUUGUUACUACCACUUGCUAAAUUAUCUCAUGAGAUGAGUGCUCUAAAAAAAAGAGAGAAGAAAAAAAAGGAUACGAGGAAAUAAAAAGGGGCAAGUGCCCGGAACCUCGAAAGAAAAGAAAAAGUGAGACGAGAGGUAAAAAUGGACAAGUGUCCGAUAGUAGAAUUAGGGGUACAAGAUACCCACCUGAGAGAAAAGAAAAAUAGAAUAGCAUCUCAUUCUCCUCAUAAAGUUUCAAAACGCAAGAAAGGUAUGUAUCCCCUCAAAGAGCAAAAGUAGAAUUAGACUUCCACCAUUGUUAUCACCAUCAUCACCAUACAUCAUUCAUUCGCCACACAUGCAAAUCUUGAUUUGGCUUAUUGAUUUGUUUCUUUGGAUCCAUGGUUUGACUAUACAAUACAUGUCUUGUAAGUAUGUAUAUUUUAUCUCCCACCUAUGAGCUCCAGAUAUUAAAGCCUUAUUAGAGUAGGGUGAGAGAGAAUGCAAUGUCACUAUGCCUUAUACCACAAAUACUACAUAUCUUGAGAGAAGGCAUAUACCAUCACUGCCUUGGUAAGGAUCCAGAAAUACCACAAAAGAGAGACUUGAGAGAAUCAUACAAGGAAUCUCUGAGUUUUAUUUGAAAAUCUGCAAAAACUCUAGAGCGAUAGCUGAUCAAGAAUAAGAGACAUGGCACUUGGCUAGACUGUUCUAUCUUUUAACUACGCAAGACAGAAGUGACGGUUAGAAGUCCCAUGGUGAAGGUAAAGUAAGUAAGUUUUAAGUCUUGACAGUUUACUCUAACUCAGAGAUGAGAUCUUAUUUAAAAAAGCAAAUGUACCGUCAAUUUUUUUAAGAUAUUGCAACAACUUAUGAUCCAUAGCUGAGUCUGUCCUUGCUCAGGGACGAGCAAGAGGUAAGCUUGGGGGAGUUUGUUGACGGUCCUUAAGUAUCAAAUUUAAUUAUCAAAUAAAUAAAGAAAAGGAUCCAAAUGAAAUCAACAUCCAGACUUAGGGUUUUAUCUGACAGAAUUCCACGAGUUUUGGUGUUUGUCUAUUUCUGCAGGGGGUUAUCAGGAAAUACAGAAGAAAGGCCCACACGUCGGGAUUACAUAGAGAUAUUAACAUGCCGCGCAAUUAUCAUACAUCUAGAAGACUCCAGAAGCCACGAGACCGAAGCGGAGGCGAAACGGGGCCAGAGGCAGGGCGCCCGCCCUCCUGCCCUGGGCGCCCGCCCCCUUUGAGAGUCCAAUCAGGACUCUGCUUCAUGGGAGAUCUCCACCGACCUAAAGGAUCAAGGAUAACCGUUCAAUCUAAGUCGGUUUGAUCCAACGGCCCAUAUUCACUUGAAGGGACUAUAAAACCAGACCCCUGGCCCCUGGAGGAGAGAGCCUCUCAACCCUAAUUCAUUGUUCCUCAAGGGAGAAGAAGCCUCUGAUCAAGAUUAGAGCCACCACAUCAAUUGGAUAUCUAGAUUAGCAUAGCUACAUAGGAUUAGAGCUAGAAGGAGUCAAUCUUCGAUUGGUUUCCGGAUCUGUCAAGAGGAUUCUUGGUAAUUCUCUAAUUGUGCUUCUAAUUGCUUUCUAAUUAUCUUUGUUCUUCAAUAUUAUGAAUAUGACUUUGUUCUACUUCAAUAUAUUGCUUAUGACUUUGCUCUACUUGCUUAUAUUCAAGAUUAUAUUGUUCUUAGUUUAUUAUAGUUAUGUACUUGGCUUAGUUAGAUUGGAUCUAUAUACAUGCUUAGGAUCGUAUAGCAUGUAUCCAUCGGAUCCAUGGGUAAAUGAUAGAUAUUGUGUAGGCGUGGUGCUUAUACCGUAUUUAUCUGCGAUUGUACCCAAUAUGCCAGAUCGUGGGGUAGUUCGUGAUAGUGAUAGCUUCAUUGAUUCUUAUAUAGUCCCCCUCUCGUGUAUUGGGCUGGCAGAGCAAUAUUAUUACAGGGGAGUGAUUGCUAUGUUUCUAAUUUACCUUGCUAAUAUCACUAUGCGUGGGCGUAGUCUUGUCUCGCAAUGAUUGCUAAGUAUGCUUGCACUAAUUAUGAUAAUGCUAGACUAUAUAGUUGAGAAUAACUUAGAGAAUAUUCUUGUAGUUCGUUCUAAUUCCAUGCUAAUGACUUUCUAGAGUAUCUAAUUGAGGUGCUUAUCAUAUUUAUUAUGUGGCUAAGUUAUGAUCAGAUUAAUUAUCCUUGUCACUAUUCAUUAUUUCAUAUAUCCUUUAUGUGACACUUAUCCCUGUAUGAAAGAGUUAGAUAAAUGUUCUCAAUUAUACAUGCAAUGAUAUAUACUCAAUCUCAUAUUCUAUUCUGUAAUCAAUAUUGAUGAUUGUUAAUCCCUUCCCAGUGGUAAAAAUAUAAAUAACGAUACCUGGAAUACUUCCCGGUUAAAAUGCUACAUCGGUAUUAAUCUGUGCGCUUGCAGAUCCCAUUCAUUAUUUAUUUAGAAGAGCAAUUACAUAUUUCAAUACCGCGUCUCUUAUAUCAUGCUGGGGAUGACAACUUGGCUUAAGUGGUGUGAGGGAUAGGUUUGGCAUUUUUGGCACCGUUACUAGAUUUAGAGAACUUAGUCUACUUUUGGUAAUGAUGUUAAGAAUACCCAACAAACCUAUCUAAGAAAUUGGCAUCUAAUGAUAAAAUGUUAGAAAAUAUAAAUAAUAGAAUUAAUAAUUUCUCUACUACCAUCAAGAAUCAAAUUAGCUUUAAUAAAAUGAUUGAAUCUCAGUUAAAUCAAAUAGCUGCUGUUGUUCCCGCUACUAACCCCGGUACACCAUCACAACCGGAAGUAUUAGAAUCUGCAAAUCUUGUAGACAUGUUUGAUGCAGGUAACUACUGGAGUAACCCCGUCACUGAAGUUACUACUGACCUUCUGCCGGUCAAGAGAGGCGAUCCAGCACGCCCCAUCAUCCCGAUCUCCAUCGGCAUGGUGGACUUUCCAAAAGCACUCUGUGACUUUGGCUCUAGCGUCAACAUUAUGCCCAGGGUACUCUAUGAAAAAUUCUUUACAUAUCCUUUAUCAGAAACAACCAUGUGUUUGCAGUUUGCAGAUCAGAAAAUAAGUUUUCCAAAAGGAAUAUUGAAGAACCUUUGUGUCCGAGUUGGUACCUUAUAUGCCCCAGCAGACUUCGUGGUGAUAGAGACCGGUAAUGAUGAGAGGGCACCCAUCAUCUUAGGGAGGCCAUUCUUAAACACCUCAAGAGCUGUCAUCUAUGCUAGUGUUGCCAAGAUCAGUUUCUACAUCAAAGGGAGGAAGGAGACAUUUUCCUUCAAGAACAAGACUACACAAAUCCCAGAUCAAUCCAGACGUGAAUCAAGGAAGAGGACCAACAGGAGGAACAGGAACAAGCAAGUGUGGACCGAGUCAGCUAAGAUGGUCACUGCAGUUCAUGGAGGUCAAGAUCAUCAACUUAAGUCACCAUUUUUUAUCAAAAAGGAUGACCUAGGAAUGCCAAGCAUUUAUUGCUCCAUAAAUGGACACAACUUCUACAAGACGACUUGUGACACCGGAUCGGGCGUCAACAUAAUGGCCGCAGUCACCUAUCGGCUCUUGUUCGGAACCAUGCCCUUAAAACCAACAUACAUUCAACUCCAGAUGGCAGAUCAAACAUUUCGAGAGGUUAAAAUUAUAGUAACUGAUGUCCCUGUCAAAAUAGACGAUCAUUUUAUCUACACAGACUUUCAGGUUAUUGACAUGGGAGAAGAUGAAUACAAUCCACCCAUCAUCCUUGCAAGACCGUUCCUCAGCACCGUUAAAGCAAUCAUCUGCAUUGGAACUGGAGAAGUCCAUAUGCACUUCCCCUCAGAGAAGGUACGCCGCUAUUUUACUGACCCUAACUAUAUCGUUGAAGACUCUAAGCAGGUCAGAAAACGACGCAACCGCAACCAGAGGAGGGAAAUCAUCAAGGAUGGAUGGGCAGACUAUGAAGGAGAAGUGGUAAGGUCAGAAGACAUACAGUUUAAACAGAAUUAUCCAGAGGAGACCGUAGCGCCGAGUCAGAAAUGGAAAGAGAAGAUAACUGUACAUGAAGAGGAGGCGCUGCCGGAAGUACCGACUCCGCCACCCAACGAAUCCCAGGACAACUAGAAAAUGGAGAGUCCCGUUCGGAGGACUUAAAAACACCGAACGCCUUGCUAAGAGGUAAACUUUGUAGUUAUCCUUUCCCAUUCAAAUAUUUGAAAUAGUUUACUUAGUUAAUCAUGUUCAUACUAUCCUAAAAAGAAAAUAAAAAUGUUAAAAACAGUAAGCCCCAUGUGAGUAUACGAGUGGCAUAAAACCCAUAAGUACAUUCACUGUGGUGGAAUAAAAAUAAAUAAAUAUUUUUUCUGCUUUAUAAAAUGAAAAUAUAAAAAUAGAGAGUAAUAUUUAUUGAGGAGGCUCAACAUGAUAAAGGCUAGAUAUUUAUGCUAACACUUAAUCAGUUCCACAAGCUUUGUUGUCUAUUUGAGCUCCACAGAAUUCAAGAAUCAAGAAGACUAGCAGACGAAGGACAUUCUAAUCGCUGUCAAGAUACUGCCGACUUUCAAAUACACCUCUGCCACCUCCUAGCUACAUCAAGAGAAAUUACGUCAAAAUUCAGC
rnacentral:lncRNA from 1 species